rnacentral:lncRNA from 1 species
CAGGAAGUGACAUAGCAGGGUAGAAUCAGAGAAGCAGGAAAUUUCUCUCUUCUCUCUUCUCUGUGGAGACGCUGAGCAGACGUGAUGUAGACCCCAGUGGAAUAAGAGGCCUGGACAUUACCUCUGAAACUGGAAGCAAUCUAGAUGCUCAUCAAAAGAAGAAUGGAUAAGGAAAAUGUGGCACAUAUACACAAUGGAGUACUACUCAGAGGUAAAAAACAAUGACAUCUUGAAAUUUGAAGACAAAUGGAUGGAGCUAGAAGAAACCAUCCUGAGUGAGGAAACACAGGCACAGAAAGACAAGCACAGUGAGAGCUGGAUUUUCCUGUUCUAAGGAAUGGAGUAGACAGCAGGGUCUCCAGGCUUCAGAAGACUCGUUGAGAUUAUGAACAUCAAUGCUGGGCAUAGUAAAACAACACCUUGAUAAAAUCACUGUGUUUGAGUCUGCAUCUGAGGAUGCAGAAGAUCUGGAGAGAGACAGCACUGAAACUCCCAAACUCUACAAGUUCAAACUGUGAGACUGUUGGGAACUGACCAUCCUUUGGAGAUACAGGGACCAUCAGUGGAUGUCAAGGCACUCUGGACAGCAGGAAGUUGCUACUGUGUCCACCUGAAGGGAAAGUGGUACCAAUGGAACCGAGGACUGUGUACACAGGAGCUGUGAAUUAUGCUUUUCUAUCUGUUUUACUCAGAACCAGAUGAGGAGAACAUUAACUUAUUUUAAAUUUAAAAAUAAAGUCUUCAAAAAGGCUGGGGACACUAUUCAAUGGUAACUCGAUUGCCUAGCCCUUGCAAAACCCUCAGCUUGGUCUCUGUUAAGUCUCAGGUCCUGGGACAAAUGGCGGAGGCUGCCUCUGCCUGUGCUUUCCCUUUUAUCUAUCACAAAAUUUCUCCUCCACCAUACCUAGGAAUAGACAUGUCUUUCUCUUUUAUUUCUUUUUUUCAGUCAGUCUCCAGCACCAGAACAAAACAAAUGAAACACAAAAGUCAAAACCCAAAUAAAAAUAAAAAGGGAGAAAACAGUAAUUUUUUGUUUGUUUGUUUGUUUGUUUUUUUGUUUUUUGAGACAGGGUUUCUCUGUGUAGCCCUGACUGUCCUAG